rnacentral:rRNA from 1 species
GUAGGGAAUAUUGGGCAAUGGAAGGAAUUCUGACCCAGCCAUGCCGCGUGCAGGAAUACAGUCCUAUGGACUUUAAACUGCUUUUAUUAUAGAGUAACCUGGGGGACGUGUCCCCCACUGCAAGUAUAUAAUGAAUAAGCAUCGGCUAACUCCGUGCCAGCAGCCGCGGUAAUACGGGGGAUGCAAGCGUUAUCCGGAUUUAUUGGGUUUAAAGGGUGCGCAGGCUGAUCGGUAAGUCAUGGGUGAAAAGUCACUGCUUAACAGUGAUCGUGCCUAUGAUACUGCCGGACUAGAGUUUAAGAGGUGUAACUGGAAUGUGAUGUGUAGCGGUGAAAUGCUUAGAUAUGUCACAGAACGCCAAUCGUGAAGACAGGUUACAAACUUAAUACUGACGCUCAUGCACGAAAGCGUGGGGAUCAAACAGGAUUAGAAACCCGAGUAGUCC